UACAGAGGUCCCAAGCGUUGUUCGGAUUCACUGGGCGUAAAGGGUGCGCAGGUGGGUUUGCAAGUUCGAUGUGAAAGCCCCGGGCUUAACCCGGGAAUGGCAUUGGAUACUGCAGAUCUGGAGGAUCGGAGGGGGGACUGGAAUUCCUGGUGUAGCGGUGAAAUGCGCAGAUAUCAGGAGGAACACCGAUGGCGAAGGCAGGUCUCUGGGCCGAUGACUGACGCUGAGGAGCGAAAGCGUGGGGAGCGAACGGG
rnacentral:rRNA from 1 species